GCCGAUGUAGCUCAGCGGUAGAGCAACCGCCUUGUAAGCGGUAGGUCGCCGGUUCAAUCCCGGCCAUCGGCU
rfam:Elusimicrobia bacterium GWA2_56_46 gwa2_scaffold_209, whole genome shotgun sequence.